rnacentral:tRNA from 1 species
UUACUGGUAGGUUAUUCAAACUGACAAAUUGUGGUUUUGUUGAUUACUUUUUUGUAUCAGUAAC